AUCAAAAGGAUACAAAAAAUUAUUUUGUGCACAGGUCACUGUUUAGGCAAUCGAGAACAAGAAAAAAUUUAAUGUCAAGAUGUGGGGAUUGUGAAAAAUUGAUGAAAAAGUUAAAAGUCAUUACAGUCUUCUGCCUUCAUAUGCAUUGUAAAUGUUUUAGCCUGUCAAUAGCCAUUUUCUGCGAGAUUAGCUUGAGCUGGACUAUAGAUUGACAUUCUCAGUUGUUCAGUGUUGAUUCUUCCUCAGUUACUUGAUGUGUGUGUCCAGCAAGUCUUCCUCAAUUACUUGUAUUGCCGAAAAAUGCAUAAGGGUAUUUUUUUUUUAGCCUACUAUAAUAUCUCAUCAUUGAUGAUAUUACUUAGGCUAUUCAUAUUAAUAAUUUCACAAAAUUGGUCCAUAGACUGAUGAUGCUUGUACUUAAAGAGAACAUGAAAACUCACAGCCAAUAUGUUAUCAAUUUCAUUUUGUAUCCUCCAGUUCAAGCAAUCAAUUAGAACAUGAAAACGCACAGCCAAUAUGUUAUCAAUAGGUUUAAUCUCAAAGAUCUUAUUGCAGGUGAAUUAAAUAUAUGGCAGCGGUUUCAGUUCAUCAGCUCGCUCAGUGCAUUACUUGACAUGCUUGGAGUCCAUACCAUUCUAUGAUAGCAUUAUGCCCAAAUAACAACGAAGUGCAUAUAUAUAGAUUAUCCGAAGACGACAAAUGGGAGAAGAUCCACGUUCUUCAGAAGAAUAUACAUCAAGGGUAACCCACUGAGAAUUUGGUGAGAUUUCUGAAAGCAAGGGAUGGGAAUGUCUCCAAUGCGUAUAAAAUGAUUCAUACUCGAUCUGAGUUUUCUGAGGACAAGCUUCUCUGUGGCGAUCAUGAAGAUUGAAUUUACCCAUUGCAUUCAAAAGAGAGGUGCAGGCCAAGAAGAAAGUAACGGGAAGGAUAUUUUAGAGCUAGCCAACCCAACGAUUUGAAGACAACAAGUUGUAAAUUAUCUUCUUUUAUACAAUAAUUUUCUGUUGUUUAAGAGGAGUGUAAGAUGAUGUUUAUUUGAUGGGCAAUAUGUAAAACAAAAUUUUUUUCCGAUUUAUUACAAUGAUGUGUUUUGACUAUUUGGUAUGGAUGAAUAAAAUUAUAUCAAUUAAAGGCC